GCAAACCUGGGACAAGUUUGGAACACUUCCCUCAGCUGUUUUGCAAACAGCAUAACAAAGUAGAGGGGAGGAAUACAGCCCAGGGACACCUCAUCCCAAGCCCUGAAUUUUCAAUUAGUUGAUUACAGCAACUGGGCUCUGCAGAAUUGCCCCAGACUGCUUAAUUUAGUCCUUGAGGCAGGAGACUUUGGUGCAGCAGGAUGCACCAGCAUUCAUGACAAACAGCAAGAAAAAAGGACAAAAACGCUGAAGUGAAUUCCAAGGCUGAGCAGUUAAAGUGGCAGUGAAGACAAUAGGCAAAUCCCAGAAAAGGUCACCCCUCCAGCUUGGACAGAGGGAAUGCUGUAAGAUGAAGUGAAAUUCCCUUGGUGCUGAUGACCCGUCAUCUAGGAGUAAUGCUUUCUGUGGAUGCCCAGGAACAUCUGUCUCUGCCAUGGAAAUCUUCAACAAGUAUAAUUUUAAACUGGUUUCAGUCUUGUCUGCUGUGAAAAGGACAUUUACCAGGGUGGGGAGCCUUCUCUGAAGGCUAAGCAGAGCAGAGCAGAGCUGCUGUUGGACUACAGCAGUC